rnacentral:rRNA from 1 species
GAUGAACGCUGGCGGCGUGCCUAAUACAUGCCAGUCGAGCGAACGGACGAGAAGCUUGCUUCUCUGAUGUUAGCGGCGGACGGGUGAGUAACACGUGGAUAACCUACCUAUAAGACUGGGAUAACUUCGGGAAACCGGAGCUAAUACCGGAUAAUAUUUUGAACCGCAUGGUUCAAAAGUGAAAGACGGUCUUGCUGUCACUUAUAGAUGGAUCCGCGCUGCAUUAGCUAGUUGGUAAGGUAACGGCUUACCAAGGCAACGAUGCAUAGCCGACCUGAGAGGGUGAUCGGCCACACUGGAACUGAGACACGGUCCAGACUCCUACGGGAUGCAGCAGUAGGGAAUCUUCCGCAAUGGGCGAAAGCCUGACGGAGCAACGCCGCGUGAGUGAUGAAGGUCUUCGGAUCGUAAAACUCUGUUAUUAGGGAAGAACAUAUGUGUAAGUAACUGUGCACAUCUUGACGGUACCUAAUCAGAAAGCCACGGCUAACUACGUG